AGAAACAUCAUCCAGUAAAACGUGAGUACAGAAAUGACUUUGUUUUAGUAACAGCAACCAACAAAAGGUGAGUACAGUAAUGACUUUGUUCUAGAAACAUCAUCCAGUAAAAGGUGAGUACAGUAAUGACUUUGUUCUAGAAACAUCAUCCAGUAAAAGGUGAGUACAGUAAUGACUUUGUUCUAGAAACAUCAUCCAGUAAAAGGUGAGUACAGUAAUGACUUUGUUCUAGAAACAUCAUCCAGUAAAAGGUGAGUACAGUAAUGACUUUGUUCUAGAAACAUCAUCCAGUAAAAGGUGAGUACAGUAAUGACUUUGUUCUAGAAACAUCAUCCAGUAAAAGGUGAGUACAGUAAUGACUUUGUUCUAGAAACAUCAUCCAGUAAAAGGUGAGUACAGUAAUGACUUUGUUCUAGAAACAUCAUCCAGUAAAAGGUGAGUACAGUAAUGACUUUGUUCUAGAAACAUCAUCCAGUAAAAGGUGAGUACAGUAAUGACUUUGUUCUAGAAACAUCAUCCAGUAAAAGGUGAGUACAGUAAUGACUUUGUUCUAGAAACAUCAUCCAGUAAAAGGUGAGUACAUUAAUGACUUUGUUCCAAGCAUACAGCCAGGAACACUAUCCAGUAGAAUGAAGUGUUCAGUGAUGAGUUUGUUUGAGAAACACCACUCGUAUGUAGAAUUUGACACACAAGUAAGGGUGGGAAACAGGAAUACCACAUGGAUUAAGUUAAACUGACACAUGAUAAGAUUAAGAGCAUUACAAUUCACAAUUAUGGGUUUCAUUAUAAGUUGAUUUAAAAAAUUAUCAAAUGGAGACAGAUUAUUUUCCAACAUACAUCAUAACUGUCACAACUUCUUAAAGGUUGUUACAGUUGUUUUUUUAACUAUAUCAAUUUUUCUAAAAGUUUUUAACAAGUUUAAAUUGCUGAUACAAAUUGUCAGGUUAUCAUUACACUCAUUUUAUAACUUUAACUUUUUUAGUGUUUUGAGGGUCGUUUUGUGGUCACUGCAACUCUUUGUACUCUAGGAUAGAUAUUAACAGACUUUUACAACUUUUUAACAGUUGUAGCAGUCAUUUUAUAGCUGUGACAACAUUCUGUAGCUUUGUUACAGCCCAUUUUAUACUGUGGGAAACACUGUUUGGGAUGUGACAGAAAUAAAGUAACUGUCACAAUGAAAUGUAUACAGCAAUAUCUCAGACUAUUUAAAAAAUCAGCUCUGGUCCCAAUAUUAUUGGGUGAGUAAUUAUACCCAUUGGAAAUGGAAACAAUUAUUGAAUAUGAAAAAUUAACAAUGUAAAAGCUUUUUCACCUACAUUUCUUAUUGUAGUUUAUUGAAAUUAUGCCCAAAAGUUAACAUCACUAUGUCAUUUGGUUCUCCUUGGAAAUGUGUCUCAUUUGCAA